AGCUCACGCCGGGAUGGCCGUGUGAGCCCCGACGCCCCGCUCGCGGGGGUGGGAGGCGGCCGCCCGCAGCAGGGCGCCCGGGAGGGGCCGUCCUGGGGGCUGCUGACCGACUGACUUCAGGGUCAGCUGCACCCAUGGGUGGACUUAGAACUGAUAACUUCUCAUGCUGAGCUCGCUGGCCCAUGAAGAGCAGAGCCAGCCCCGAAAUGCGUUGGCGAUCACCCUCCUGCCAUAGCUCCUGGCUUGUCUCCAGGAAGGUCUGCAUCAGGAGGCGUACCAACCCAGAUGUCCCUUCACUGCUCACCCAGUGCUCACUGCGCCCCGCCCACAUGCUCCCUGGGGGCCGUGUGAGGCCCUGGGACCUGGGCCGCGCCCUCAGCUCCAGGACGGUGCCCCGCCUGCCGGCAGGAGUCUGCCUUCCGGGUGGUGAGUUCCAGCCCUGACUCUGCCCCCGACCAGGUGACUUUCUCUGAGCCCUAAAGGGGGGGGCCUUCAUCCUCUGCCUUCUAAGACUGGGGUGCAAAUUAAGGAGGGAAUGCUGGCAACAUGCUCGCUUUAUGCCUGGCACAGAGUUGGAUACUUAUUAGCUAUUAUUUAUUAUUAUUAUUUAUUAUUAUCAUCAUUAAUCGCUGGUAUGGUUAAGACAGCAUUUAAAGGUCAUUUAGAGAGCAGGAUGUUAGAAUUCAACAGAGUUGUUACAGGAACUCAGAAAUCUUCUUGGAGAAACUCACCUACCAGCUGCCCCAAAAAGCAGAUUUUAGAUUACCCUCUAAUUGGCUAUCAAGAAACCGGGGAUGACAGGUUGGGCUGGCGGGGCGUCCUGGGGACACAGAUCCCUCCACACCUUUCCUGGUUCCCGGAUUGCCUCGUCCUCCUGUUCGCUGGCUGCGCGGCCGGGAGAAGGAUGAGCAGGUGAGGACAGGGUGGGAGAGAGGAUGGGAGGAGUGAGCUGGACAGAGUGGGCAGGACCUGGGAAACCGAAAGCCAUGAUUUCUGAUUCCAGGCUGCUUCCUCCUCUUCCAGACGAAACACAGAGGCAGGAUCUUUUCAAACCCUUUCUGCGUUUGAGUUUUUAAAAUCUCAGAUGAUGCACCGAAGUGAGUCACUGGUUCCAGAGGGACAUACCGGCACUUGGACAACACUGGAACAGUGGAAACUGCAGUGGGUUCCAGCCUGCAGACCUGGUGUGGCCCCUGCUAGCUGUGUGACCCUGAGGCGGUGGCUGAACCUCUCUGGGCCUCAGUUUCCUCAUUUCUCAAACGGUGUGGUAAUGAGGGUGAAAUUGAAAGGGUCAUCGCUGGCACUGAGAAGUCCUUCUAAAUGGCUUGCUGAAGUCUGACUGUGGAUGCAUGUGGUCCAGGAAGAGGAAAAGGGGAGGAGAGAGUUAGCAAUAGCCAUCACUGAGAAUGUGUUUCAGUGUUCACCCCGGUCCCGCUUGUCUGUUCUCACGACUUGCUUUAUACAUGUUCAUUACCUUAUCAGUAACCCUCUAUGGUUUUCAUUUUUAUGAUUCCCAUCUACACCUGGGCAAAAGCAGACUCAGGAAAGAAGCUGCCUUGACCAGGGUGGUACAGCUGGAAGGUGGAAGAGCCGGGACCCGGAAGAAGCCCUGAUCCCAAAGCCUGUGCUCUUCUCUGCAGCUCUGCAUCCUCUGUCUGUCAGGGCAGCGCCGGCCCCGGCCCCGGAGAGCAGCCCCCUCCAGGACCUGCAAGGCUGUUUCUGCAGCGAGGGCCCUCCGUCUCCUCACCAUGGGUCUGCGCGGAUCUGACAGCUACUGCAAAAAAGGCAUCAGAGUCGUCCUGAGAGCCUGGGGCCCGAGUGGACCACUGGGCCACCAGACUCAUCCUUUCUGGACUAGAGCCCUUCUUCCUCACACGGGUGAUGAGCAGCUCCUGAUUGUUCCGCUCUCAGUGACGGUUCUACAAUCUCCAGGCUACAGAGAGCCCCCAACCCGAGGUCAUGCUGCUCCACGGGGCCUGCGGGCAGCUGGUCACUGGUUUACAGGGACACCACGACCUGACCUACGUGGACAGCUGCAAGGACAAAGGAUUCUGCCACCAAGAAGUCUACAACCACCAACCACAUCCCCUCCCCUUUUUAGUAUAAAAAGAGCCUGAAUUCUGACUUGGGGAAGAUGGCUCUUCAGGACAUGAGUCCCCCAUCUUCUCGGUCUGCUGGCUUUCUGAAUACAGUCACCAUCUCUUGCCCUAACACCUCAUCUCCCGAAUUUUGGCCUGUCCUGCAGGGAGCAGAACCGUUGGACAUGGUGACGUGUGUGUCUAAUCUAUGUGUAUAAAUGUGCUCUGUCUCCUUUGUGAGAGUAGUUAUAUAAGUGCCCACGUCUGUACAUCUGUGUCUCUACUUGAAUACAUGCACACACCUUCUGCUUUCCCUCCUCAGACGGUAGCACUCCGCUCAUGCUGUUCUGUGUUUUACUUCAUUCACUUAACCAUACGUCCUGGAGAUCAGUCCUUACCCCUUGAAAUGCCUGCACCGUAUUGCACUGUGUGGACGGGCCCUCCCUUAUGUUGUCACGUGGCUGGCCAUGUAGGCUGCCUCCAGUCUUUGGCUAUGAUACAUAUGCCACGUGGAUGUCACGUGGGCAAGCCUUCCUAAGUCCGAGUCCUAUUUCAGGGUCAAAUAGUAUGUGCGUUUCAAAAUCAGAUACUAGCUGUCCUCCCUGUAGGCUGCCCCCUUCAGGUACACAUCCAUUGGUGACGUGUGAGAGCAGGUGAGGUUUGUAAGCAGCUGCCCAGGAGAUUCUGGUGCGCAGGAACGUGUGAGAGCUGUGAUGCUUGGGGCAAGGUGCUGCUAUCAGCUUCUGAAAGCCGUGGCCAAGGAAAGGCAGAGGGAGGGCGCUGCUUUGCAGGUGGAUGUUGAAGGAAGAGGGGUCAUGGACCAGCCCAGCCGAGCAGGGAGGGCCGGCUCUGUGAUGUCACGUGUGAGCUGAGAAGAGCGAUUCUGCUUGCUGUCCCAGGACCGGGGCUUCGCUGCGAGGGUGAGGUGGGGGUGCCCAGGGAUUGGUCCGCCUGUCGGGGCAUCCCUCCCUUUCAGCUGAGCAUCCAGGACUGUGGUCCCCUUUCCACGCCUGGGUUGUUCCAGCCACCGUCAUCUCCACUAGAACAAUGGCAAGGGUUCAACUUCCCGAGCAGGUUUUUUUAAUGCCAUGGUUGGUUAUGUCCUGGGGAGAAGUGGCUGCAACUCUGUUGUCCUGCUAAAAAUUAUGUUUCUUAUUUUCAAAUGAAAUGCUGUGCUGUCUGGACUUGGCUUCAAAAUAACCCACAGGGUAGAUGGAGUGAGCGAGGGUAAAGAUAGUACCAGAUUGGCCCUGAACUGACGCUCACUGACGCUGUCCAAUACAUACACAGGGAUUCAUUACAUUUUUCUUUAUAUAUAUAUAUAUAUUUCAAAUUUCCUAUAAGAAAAUUUCCAGUAAAUGUUCCUGGCCAAGAUACAGAGAUGGCUAAAUGCGCUCUGGUUCCUUCCAGCCUAGUCUAUGAAGACAUUUGAGUGACAGCUGCAAAUGUAAAGGGCCCAGGUUAAAACAGAGUUGAAAGCCACUUUUCCGUGCUGUGGGUCCCCCCCAAUUUCCAGAAUCCUCCCCCUCUUUCAUCUCCUAAAGACAAAAGUUCAUCAGAAACUCUCCUGACAGCACCUAGAUCUCUUGAAUGGGCUAGAAAAAUAUUUCAAGGUCUCAGAGCAAUUUAAUGCCCUAUGAAAGUAAAAUAAAUUGUGUACAAAUAAUUCGAUAAGCUCGGGGAAGUAGGGGGGAAAAACAUUAAGCAUGUCACAGCUGGCACCUCCAGGCAGUUUAUCAAAGCAAGUUUCAUAAUUUAACAAAAUCAUCUUGGCAUCGCGCACAAAAGCCCGCCUGUUUGAUCCUUUAAUAACACUGCUUAGCACUUUCUGGGGAGCUGGCUUCCAGCGCCCGGGCUGUUUCCAAGCAUUAGCUAAUCAAUCAUCAAAAGAUACUUUCCACGCAGGCAGGCAGGACUCGGAAGGCUCUCUUGAUCCCCACGGAUGUGGCAAUGGAAGUUAAGAGGCUUUUCCAAGGUCACAGAGGGGGCAACUAAUGAGUCUCGGGUUUCGUCAGUGCUCCCGACAGCGCCCCUGCUGCCCCGGUCCCCUGGCCCGGGCAGCGCGUGGCCCCGCGCUCAGGCCCCCGGGCACUGGCGGGCAGCCUUCUGCAGCUUGGGGCUGGGGUCUCGGUCCGGAGCCUUCACCUGGGAUGCCUCCGUGCUCAUCGCGACGCACUGGUGGCAUCCCCGGGAGCUCUCCUGCCGGCGUCGGGCAGUGGCCUGCGUGUACUUUCUUCUCUGGAGAACAGAAAUGCGUGCUUUUGAUCAAAUAUCAAGGAGCCCUAGCCCUGAUUUUUGUCCAGCAGUUCACAUUUGGGGGACUAUAUAUAGAUUUUUUUUUUUAA